rnacentral:rRNA from 1 species
AGGAACACAUCGGAAUCUACCCUGUCGUGGGGGACAACGUAGGGAAACUUACGCUAAUACCGCAUACGACCUUUGGGUGAAAGCGGGGGACUCGCAAGAGCCUCGCGCGAUUGGAUGAGCCGAUGUCCGAUUAGCUAGUUGGCGGGGUAAUGGCCCACCAAGGCGACGAUCGGUAGCUGGUCUGAGAGGAUGGCCAGCCACACUGGAACUGAGACACGGUCCAG